ACACCCCGCCAGGGGAACCCAGAGCAGCUUGGGCGGAGGCUUCACGUCACCCCUUCAGGAAAGGAGCUCCGCCCCUUGCUUUUUCUUCUCCUGGGUUUUGCAUCCAGAUUGAACUUCUUCCCUCCCCACAGGGCGGGGGGCCGGAGUGGACCUUCUGCUGGCUCCGGGGAUGCAGUGCCUGGCUCACGGCGUCCGGCAGCAGCUGUGGGGAGUUUUCCUUCUUUGUGCUUUUCUGACAAUGGGAGGCACCGCGGGACCAGGCGUUCAGCAGCCCGCCGAGCUGACGGCGAUGGAAGGAGCUUCUGUCCAGGUCAACUGCACGUACCAGACAUCGGGGUUCAACGGGCUGUUCUGGUACCAGCAGCGCGAUGGCGGAGCGCCCACCUUUCUCUCUUACAACGUUCUGGAUGGCUGGGGCAGGAGAGGUCGUUUGUCCUCCUUCCUUAGUCGCUCUGACACUUACAGUUACCUCCUUCUGAGGGAGCUCCAGAGUAAAGACUCCGCCUCUUACCUCUGUGCUGUGAUAGACACAUUGCCCACGAGGCCCCUGCAGCUGCACCAAAAUCCAAAAGGCAGCCAUGGCAGUGAGAAGUUACGUUUCCUGAGCAGGUACCUUCUGUGGGUUAAGACGACAUUUCGGAACCAGACUGCCCGGAUUGGCAGUGCAUUUUAA